rnacentral:ncRNA from 1 species
AAUAAAAUUAUUUAUGGUUUAAAAAUUUAUUAUAAAUUUAUUUUACAUAUAAAUUUUAGUGUUAAUUUUUAAUUUAUUUAAAUAAUAAUUAAUAUUUAUUUGUAGUAAUUAGAAUUAAAAAUUUAAGUAAUUAAGAUUUAGUAAUAUUUAAAUUAAUAACAAAUUUUGUGCCAGCAGUUGCGGUUAUACAAAAAUUAAAUUAAAUUUUUUUAGGGAUUAAUUAAUAAUAGAUUAUAUAAUAAAAUUAAAAUUUAAAUUAUUAAGUGAAAUUUUAAUUUAUGAAAAUUUUAUAUUGAAUUAUGAAUUAAAAAAUUUUAUUAAAAACUAGGAUUAGAUACCCUAUUAUUAAAAAUUUAAAUUAAUAAUACUAAAAUAGUAUAUAAUUAUUUAUAAAAACUUAAAUAAUUUGGCGGUAUUUUAGUUUAUUUAGAGGAAUCUGUUUAUUAAUUGAUAUUCCACGAAUAAAUUUACUUAAUUUAUUUAAUUUUGUAUAUCGUUGUUAAAAAAAUAUUUUAAAAUAAUAAUAAUAUUUUAAUUUUUAUAUUAAAAGUUAAAUCAGAUCAAGAUGUAGAUUAUAAUUAAGAAUAUAAUGGAUUACAAUAAAUUUAUUUAAUUGGAUGUUAUUUUUAAAAAUUAAUUGAAAUUGGAUUUAAAUGUAAUUUUAUUUAAUUUAUUAAAAUGAUUUUAAUUUAAAAUAUGUACAUAUUGCCCGUCGCUUUCAUUAAUAAAUUGAAAUAAGUCGUAACAAAGUAGAGGUACUGGAAAGUGUUUCUAGAAAGAGUA